CGAAGGGUGCAAACGUUGCUCGGAAUUACUGGGUGUAAAGGGUGCGCAGGCGGACUUAUAAGUCAGAGGUGAAAUCUCACUGCUCAACAGUGAAACUGCCUUUGAUACUGUAGGUCUUGAAUUAGGGAGAGAUUCGUGGAAUUCCGAGUGUAGCAGUGAAAUGUGUAGAUAUUCGGAAGAACACCAGUGGCGAAGGCAGCGAAUUGGCCCUAUAUUGACGCUCAGGCACGAAAGCAUGGGGAUCAAACAGGAUUAGAUACCCUGGUAGUCCAUGCCCUAAACGAUGAUCACUUGAUGUCGGCCGAAAGGUCGGCGUCGUAGCUAACGCGUUAAGUGAUCCACCUGGGGAGUACGCUCGCAAGGGUG
rnacentral:rRNA from 1 species